rnacentral:miRNA from 1 species
GCAGACACAUUCCAGCCAAUCAGCAGCAGACCCUCCCUCCCAGACCCUGCCACCUCCUGGACAGCAUCCAUUUUGAAGCUGCAUUCUUAGUGAGCUGUCCAGGAGGUGGGAGGGUCUGGGAGGGAGGGUCUGCUGCUGAUUGGCUGGAAUGUGUCUG